ACUGGCUUCAACAGCUAUAGACUAAAACAGGAACAAUUCAGAGAAGAUUGGCAUAUCCCUGCUCAAGGAUGAUAUGUAAAGGUGUGAAGCAUUUUUUAUCUUU
rfam:Mus musculus chromosome 13, GRC primary reference assembly.